UACGAAGGGGCUAGCGUUGCUCGGAAUCACUGGGCGUAAAGCGCACGUAGGCGGAUUUGUAAGUCAGGGGUGAAAUCCCGGGGCUCAACCUCGGAACUGCCUUUGAUACUGCAAGUCUUGAGUCCGGAAGAGGUGAGUGGAAUUCCUAGUGUAGAGGUGAAAUUCGUAGAUAUUAGGAAGAACACCAGUGGCGAAGGCGGCUCACUGGUCCGGUACUGACGCUGAGGUGCGAAAGCGUGGGGAGCAAACAGGG
rnacentral:rRNA from 1 species